GAAACCGUUCAGGGGUAAACCUGAGAAACCCAAAAGAUCGAAUGGGGAGAUUCAUCGUCGACGAGGUUGGCUUCCGUUGGUGUGCAGAUACCCCGAACUGAUGUACGUCUGUACACAGUGCGAGGGUACACCAUCUUCGGCAAAUGUUCCGACCACGUAGUCGUGCACUUCUCCCUUAGUAGAACGUCGCGACCCGUUGCGUGUCGGUCUACGGCCCGAGUUGUUGCCUGUCGUGUCGCCUUCGCGCGUACACGGUAGACGCUCGAUCGCCUGGCCGGCUGCGUGACGGUACUCUGACGGUAUCGGGCCGCAACCAAUCCAUUCUCGAAUGUGUGUGCGUCAGGCCCGCCGCAAGCUCGGUUAUUUUUACCCGGAGGUCGGCGGAACUGGUGCUGGCUCCGGGCAUAACCAGCUGUUAGCAGGCGGUGUCCUCGGACUGGCCAAGCUUUGAAUUACCGGUCAGCGACGCUACUGCUUUGGGUACUCUCAGGACCCGUCUUGAAACACGGACCAAGGAGUCUAACAUGUGCGCGAGUCAUUGGGACAUGUAAACCUAAAGGCGCAAUGAAAGUGAAGGUCGACCUUAGCGUCGACCAAGGGAGGAUGGGCCGCGUUACGAUGCGGCCUCGCACUCCCGGGGCGUCUCGUUCUCAUUGCGAGAAGAGGCGCACCCAGAGCGUACACGUUGGGACCCGAAAGAUGGUGAACUAUGCCUGGUCAGGACGAAGUCAGGGGAAACCCUGAUGGAGGUCCGUAGCGAUUCUGACGUGCAAAUCGAUCGUCGGAACUGGGUAUAGGGGCGAAAGACUAAUCGAACCAUCUAGUAGCUGGUUCCCUCCGAAGUUUCCCUCAGGAUAGCUGGCACUCGCUCGUUCUCUUUGGUGAACGUUUGCGAGUCUCAUCUGGUAAAGCGAAUGAUUAGAGGCCUUGGGGCCGAAACGACCUCAACCUAUUCUCAAACUUUAAAUGGGUGAGAUCUCUGGCUUGCUUGGAUCUCAAUGAAGCCACGAGAUUUUUUGGAUCAGAGUGCCAAGUGGGCCAAUUUUGGUAAGCAGAACUGGCGCUGUGGGAUGAACCAAACGCAGAGUUAAGGCGCCUAAGUCGACGCUUAUGGGAUACCAUGAAAGGCGUUGGUUGCUUAAGACAGCAGGACGGUGGCCAUGGAAGUCGGAA
rnacentral:rRNA from 1 species